rnacentral:tRNA from 1 species
GGAAGAGCAACAUCCCCGGUGGGGUGCCCGGACUUCAAAUCCGGCGAGAGGCGCGCGGCGUCUUUGGUGGGUUCGACUCCCUCCUCUUCCGCCA